GCCCGUCCGCCCGGCUGGAGUGGAGCGGCAAGCGGCUGGGGCUCAUGCUGCGCACCCGCCCUACCGGGCGCCCCUCCCUGCGCCGCCAGAUGGGCUAAGGACCCGGCGCCCUGCGCCCUGGUCACGCGGGGUCCCACAGCCAGGGCUCUCCCCUGGCCCGGCCUCCGUGGGAACCCGUGGUGUCCCGAGAUCACCCGCAGUGGAAACCCCGAGUUGCCAUCCGCGGGCCUGCGCGCAGUAGCGGAGCCCUCGCCCCGCGCAGUCCGGCGGAGGUGAGCCGGCCGCGCUCGGGAGGGUUGCCCAGAACGGCUCCAGCGCUCGGCCCAGGAGCGCCGCAGCCGGGAGCACUGCGGGAGACCGAAUUCCGAAAGGAACGGCUGCCUGGCGGCCUCCGCUCGGGGCUGCCAAACCCAUGUCCCUGGGCGCCCUUCUGAGGUCGUCAUUUCAUACACUUACGCGACUGUGCGUGCCUGCUCCCGUCCCUGACUCGCUCGGGAGCAAAAACUUCCCGGGCCCAGAGAAACACCUGGGUUCUGCGAAAGGAAGAGCCGGUUCCUUCAAGCCCCUGGCAAAGCCGAUCAAAGUCAGUCAGUCCCGCCUCACUACAACCCUUCCACACCCUUAAACCCUUCCACACUCCAAGCCACUCCCGGCCUGCGUUCGGUGUGCAGAUUAAUCUAAAGGCAAAUUUGCUGGGAGGGACGGGGUAAUGUAAAUAUUUGUACAGACAUUCUGUAAACGAGUGACUGCGGACAUGUCAAUAUUUCAAGACAUUUGUGUCAUCAUCAUCUGGGGGUGGGAGGCGGAGGGGGAGUCCAGAGGACAUCGACUGGACUUAAUGGGAGCUAUUACAGAACAUGCUGGGGUGCCUUCAAAAAUGGAAGAUAUUGCUUACUAAUGAGGCAACUGUGAUGGCAUUUCAUUGUGCCCUGUGCUGACAAAAUGAUUUGCUAUGAAACAUAGUCGACUUUAUGCACUCCUUCCCACAUGCAGUUUCUCUUGAAUCUCCAAUCUCACCUGUUGGAUUAGCUUUUUCCAUCUAGACUAGCAAUGUUCUCAUGUCCUCUGGUCACAAAAUAAUAGAUGCGGGACCCUGCGACAAUGGCAGUUUGUCCUUCAUUCCUUUGCUGUGAAGACAGGCUCCUCAAGGGAGCAGCUGGGAUGCUGACCUCUGC
rnacentral:lncRNA from 10 species